GGCAACUUGGCCGAGCGGUCUAAGGCGCCACGUUAAGGUCCAUCCUUGAUAUCAAACCUACUCCUACCCAUAAAUAGGUUCCGUGGUCCGAAAGGGCGUGAGUUCGAAUCUCACAGUCAUGAUAUCA